CGGGCACCGGCCGCCGCUCGCAGAGCACCGGCCGCGCGCGGGGCUGCCGCUUCUCCGAGAGCCCAACUCCAUCUGGAUGUGUCCCGACAAUGAAGUGUCGCCUAAAUGAUAACCCGUUCAGAAGAUGCGCUCUGUGGCCCUCUGCCAGGCAGCGUGGGGAGCGUCUCUGGUCCAGACUCCUCCGCUGUGCAUCGUGCCCCUCCCAGGCUGGGGAGAGACAUCAGCCCACGUGAGAGAAAGAAGCAGAGACUGAUGGGAGUCCCACCACCUCUAACUGGCUCUGUCUGUGCCCCAGGGCCCACGGGGAGUGCUCAGACACCUGGAGCUGAUGCUGGAGCUAAGAAGGGGUCAGGACCGUGUGGGGUCAGGCUGUACCUGGGCCCUCACCGUGAUCGGAGGUGCGGGACGUGGAGCCUCGCCCCUGCUCCUGAGCAGCUGUGAGAGCCUGUGGAGCCAACCUAGCUGUGCUUGCUCAUGCUGGUGACCUCCUUAUGGCGUUUCCAAAAAACUUAGACACUUCGCCUCCAUAACCACAGCGCAAUCCGAGCCUCGAAAUAGCAGCAACAAUCUGUUGGAGGGAUGCCUGGGUGGCUCAGCGGUUGAGCGUCUGCCUUUGGCCCAGGGCGUGAUCCCGGGGUUCCGGGUUCGAUCCCACGUCGGGCUUUCUGCAUGGAGCCUGCCUCUGCCUCUGUCUGUGUCUCUGCCUCUCUCUCUCUCUCUCUCUCUCCUGUGUCUCUCACGAAUAUAUAAAUAAAAUCUUUAAAAACAACA
rnacentral:lncRNA from 1 species